UACGUAGGGUGCAAGCGUUGUCCGGAAUUAUUGGGCGUAAAGGGCUCGUAGGCGGUCCGUCACGUCGGGAGUGAAAACUUGGGGCUUAACCCCAAGCCUGCUUCCGAUACGGGCGGACUAGAGGUAGGCAGGGGAGAACGGAAUUCCUGGUGUAGCGGUGAAAUGCGUAGAUAUCUGGAGGAAUACCGGUGGCGAAGGCGGCAUCCUGGACCAUUACUGACGCUGAGGCGCGAAAGCUAGGGGAGCAAACGGG
rnacentral:rRNA from 1 species